rnacentral:ncRNA from 2 species
UAUGAAAAAACGGGGAGCUUGCGUAUCAAGCAGGCUGAGAGGAAGAUGAAUCGCUUCGACCCGCUACCUGAUUUGGGUAAUGCCAACGUAGGGAAUAUAGAGAGACUACUG